rnacentral:tRNA from 1 species
AAGGUUUUAAGUUAAAAAAACUAGUAACCUUCAAAGUUUCUCAUAAGAGAUAAAUCUCUUAAACCUUA